AUUGAACGCUGGCGGAAUGCUUUACACAUGCAAGUCGAACGGCAGCACGGGAGCUUGCUCCUGGUGGCGAGUGGCGAACGGGUGAGUAACAUAUCGGAACGUACCCAGUCGUGGGGGAUAACUAUCCGAAAGGAUAGCUAAUACCGCAUACGUCCUGAGGGAGAAAGCGGGGGAUCGCAAGACCUCGCGCGAUUGGAGCGGCCGAUAUCGGAUUAGCUAGUUGGUGGGGUAAAGGCUCACCAAGGUGACGAUCCGUAGCGGGUCUGAGAGGACGACCCGCCACACUGGAACUGAGACACGGUCCAGACUCCUACGGGAGGCAGCAGUGGGGAAUUUUGGACAAUGGGGGCAACCCUGAUCCAGCCAUUCCGCGUGAGUGAAGAAGGCCUUCGGGUUGUAAAGCUCUUUCAGCAGGAACGAAACGGUCGGCUUUAAUAAAGUCGGCUAAUGACGGUACCUGCAGAAGAAGCACCGGCUAACUACGU
rnacentral:rRNA from 1 species